GGAGUCGGCCAGACAGUCGCGUCACUCGCAAGAGUGCCGAGGAAAGUCCGGGCUCCAUAGGGCAAGGUGCCAGGUAACGCCUGGGCGGCGCAAGCCGACGGACAGUGCAACAGAAAGAUACCGCCUACGUUCCUUUCGGGGAGCCGGUAAGGGUGAAAUGGUGCGGUAAGAGCGCACCGCGAGUCCGGUAACGGACCGGCACGGCAAACCCCACCUGGAGCAAGACCAAAUAGGGAUCCAUUGGCGUGGCCCGCGCUGGAUCCGGGUAGGUUGCUUGAGCGCUGCGGUGACGUAGCGCCUAGACGAAUGACUGUCCACGACAGAACCCGGCUUAUCGGCCGGCUCCGCCG
rnacentral:RNase_P_RNA from 4 species